ACUUUUUUACUUGAGUAAAAUAGAGGCUAAUAGAAUUUUAUACGGAAGAGUAAAAUCUUAUGAUUUAUGAAGGAAUGUCAGUGGCGAAAGCGAUUAGCUAUAUUUUUACUGACGCUGAGGAACGAAAGCAUGGGGAGCAAACAGGAUUAGAUACCCUGGUAGUCCAUGCUGUCAAAGAUGAAUACUAAUUUUGGGAAUUUUUUCUGAUCUAAAGCUAACGCGUUAAGUAUUCCGCCUGGGAAGUAUGAUCGCAAGAUUGGAACUCAAAGGAAUUGACGGGGGUCUACACAAGUGGUGGAGCAUGUGGUUUAAUGCGAUAAUACGCGCAAAACCUUACCAGUUUUUGAAUAUUCUUUAUUAAGAAUAUUAUAAUUCUUAUUAUUGUUAAACUAGUAUUUUUAGUUUAUAUAAUAAAAGUUUACAGGUGUUGCAUGGCUGUCGUCAGCUCGUGCCGUGAGGUGUUUGGUUAAGUCCUUUAACGAGCGCAACUCUUAUUCUAUUUUGGUAAUUGUUUUUUUAAUAAAAACAAACAACUUUUAGAAAACAGCUAGUGAUAAACUAGAGGAAGGUGAGAAUGAAGUCAAGCCCUCAUGGCCCUUAUAAACUGGGCUACACACGUGCUACAAUGAUAUGACAAAAAGUUAUACAAUAGAGCAAUCUGGAGUAAAUCUUAGAAUAAAUAUCGUGUUCGGAUUAUAGACUGCAAUUCGUUUAUAUGAAGUUGGAAUCACAAGUAAUCGUAGAUCAGCACGCUACGGUGAAUUUGUACUUAGAUCUUGUACACACCGCCCGUCACAUGCUGGAAGUAACUUUUGUUUGAAAAUUUUUAUAAGUUUUAAGUAUUUUUAAUCAUUCUUUUAGUAGUUAAUAAAUAUCUUUAGCUUAGAAUUAUUUAUUAUAGAAGUUGUAACUAGGAUGAAGUCGUAACAAGGUAGUCGUACGGGAACGUGCGGCUG
rnacentral:rRNA from 1 species